UGACGCGUCAUCUGGGGAGUAGCCAGCCGUUCGCGCGAUGCGAGCGGGCCAUAUGUCAACAUAUUUGGCCGAGAGGCCGUGGCAUAUGGGACGCGGAUCAAGCUGUCCGCGUC
rnacentral:sRNA from 2 species